ensembl:lncRNA
AUGGACCAUUUUCCUGGGGAUCCAAAGAAACACAUUCCAGAACAUCAGGCCACUUUCAAUGCAUGGUCCCGGACUAUCUCUGAGAGUUCCACAAUAACCCUUUCAGAAGAUCCACCUGAGUCCCCAGAAGCCUCCUGGGAUGAAACCUCAUCAGAAAAGAAAUUAGAGAAUACAGAGCAAGAGGUAGUGAAGACUUCUGGUUUUGGCUGGUUCCGUUGGUUUCGUUCCAAGGCAAAUAAAGAUGAAGCACCAUCUGAAAAAAAUCCAGUUGCUUCUUCGGACUCAACUACUUCAGUUUCUCAGGAGAAAAUCACUCAGCCCUUUUUGGUUUCACCCAUGAAUGAGGCAAAAUCUACCACACGUCAUUGCCCUCCUCCCCUUUCUUCCACAGAAGGCAGUUCUUUCCCCAAGAGAUAUCCAGAAGCUCAACAUUCACAAGGCCAUAGCAGCAUGGAAGCAACUAUUGUUUCAGAUGCUGGUGAUCAGACUAGUUCCUUCAGACAUCAGUACAACCCUGAUAACGUGCCUCUACCCACCACAGAAGGGACAGUUCCUUUGUUCAAUCCUGCUCAGGUCACUACACCAGCAGCCUCUGGCAUUGGGCAUCUGCAACAGAAUUUUCAGCAAUACUACCCACAUCAUCUGCAAUACAAAUAAUCCAGGAUACUUCUGUGACUGUCCCUCUGAUCAGAAGCCAUUUCCUUAUCCAAAGAUGACAGUUCUAUGAUCUCUUUGCUAUCCUUCCUGUUUACUGGCAUUUGGAUAACAGCACAAAUAUGAACAACCGAUAAGCCCCUUUUAUUUUUAUUUGCUUGGUACUUUUAAAAGACAGUUUUACAGCAGAUGGUAUAGAGAUGGACAUAAAAUAAAAAGGGAAGACCCCCCUUAUUUUCUGUCUUCCAUUCUAAGAAGGGAGCUAUUAAUAGAUUACAUUGCCACUUAAUACAGGUAUUCAUAAUCUAUUGAACAACUGGCUUGAAAUUGUAGUCCAAACAUAUCUAGAGGGUACUAACUGGGAAAGAACAACAAAUGUCUUUUUAAAAUAAAUGCACAUAGGAUCUCUCUUGUAUAUUUGCUUGAGAAUAAAUCUCAGUUGAGAUCUGUGUAAUUUUGGGGCAAAUUAAAUUAUGCUGCUUUUUACUGAAGAAGAACAUAUACUUAAACAUAGUUACUUGGGAAUAAAUCUCAUUUUUUAAAUUUGUAUGUUAUUUGUUAAGAAGUUGUAUAACAUACUCAGGGUUUGAUUCCAGCCUGGUAUUGUAUGAAGACUCCCCUUUUUUGAUUUCUAGAGCAGGGUCUUCAAACUUAUACACACACUCAUUUUGUGCAGUGCACAAUCUUGAAAUAUUUUACAUAUCAUUCCAGUAAUAAAACCAAAAAUUGAUGUUCUUGUUAAUAAAAAAAAUGCUGGCAGUUAAAUGACCAAAGUGAAUGCAUGUUUCCUGAAUAAAGUUAUGUUCAUUAGCAUACUGUUGUAAUCUUCAUUUCUUCAGUUUUGAAUCCCUAAAGAUUUUUGUAUCAAUAUAGGAAAAAGUUUUCCACUGUUGUAGCCCUCAAUUUGUGACCUUGUGAAUUAGACCGUAAGUGGCACUUUUGAUGAUUUGAAUUUGAGAACCUUGUUCCAGAGUGUAUCUCCUCCUCUGACCAUUUUGGAAAUUAUCUGAUAGAAAUCACAUUGCUGGGAAGCAGAGAUAGGCUGCAUUGUCUUGAGAAAGCUAUGGUCAGCAAUAAUCCUACCUGGAAUACUUUUCUGGUAGACCUUUUGUUAAGUGCUUGUAAGUUAAUCUGUAAAAUCAUAAUCACAUUUUUUCUUCUCACUUUGAUUUAGGGACUAUACUGCACUGCUGAAUUGUCUUUUAACACUAUACAGCAUUGACAUUUGCUUGAUACAAAUCGGUUUGUGGUAGAUUUGAAUACUGUGCAAAGUAUUCUUUGUCAAUUGUCGUUCAAGAAGAUGAAUGAAUGAACUUGUGAGUCUUGUGAGUUUCAGUUGCCGUCAAAACCACAAUACUUCCAGCAAUAACAUAGGAAAAAUGCUGUCUCUUCUGCCAACUAUUUGACAUUACUCCAGGUUCCCUAACUUAAAGCUACCAUUGAGUUUCCAACUUAGACCUUAAAGUACAUGAUAUGAAAUCCUAUGUGGUAAACAGGACAAAAUUGAAUGGCUUCUGUGCAAAAUAUUAUUAGGGACAGAGAAAUUCUGUUAUAGUUCCUUGUAUCCAAACCUGGCACCCUCUCAUCUGGGAAAUGAGUUUUUUUCCAGUAAAUUUUCUCAUAUAUUUCAAUGUCUUCUAUCAAUGUGUUGCUAUCUCCUGCUCCUUACUUUGAAGAGCUCUGUCAAUUUGUGGUGUUUUGAGUGGAUGUUCUGGAGUAUGAAAUUCAUAAGUACACCCAAGGAUAUUUCUAUAUAGAAAAUAAUAGUCUAGUCUACAGAAUUCACCACUGAGACUGCUGGGAUCUGCUCAUGUUCUGAAGGUUUUGGGAAGCUCUGGGAAUGCUAUUCAUGUGUCAACAAAUUUACCUCCAGAGGAUGCAUUUAGAUAUAUUUACAGUACUUCUAAGCUUUCCCUUCCCAACCCCAAAAGAUUCUGAGCAGAAUAUGGCAUCAACCCAAAACAUUAUCAAUAGCAAAUCCAAAUUAAUGUAAAACAGUAAAAAAACCUUACAAAAGCAAAGCAAAAAUAAAACCCAAGGUAAGUGCCCAUGAUAAGUGAACUGGGAUCAAAAACAUGUUGGAAUAACCUGUUUACCAAAUUGUAGCAAGAAGAGGUUGCACAUAGUUCUCAAGAAAAAAAAUAUCAUAAAGUGGGGGGCUAUUACGGAAAAGGCAGGCCACCUCAGUCAUGCACCUUGAACCUCAGUAAGGGGUGUGAAUUUUCACUAGACUCUUUCCUAAUGAUCUGCCCAGAGCAGAUUUAAUUCUGGCAAGGAAUUGCCUGAUUUAUCUCACUGCUGUGCAAUUCAGGGUUUAAAAAAAUGUCCUUAGACUAACAAACCAAUGCAGCAAAUUUGGGUGCAAUUUUAUAUUGCACUAGCUGAAACUUCUGAGUGAGCUCCAAAGACCCCUUGCAGAGUGGGUUUCAGGAGUUCAUCAAAUGGUGAUCCAGGCAUGAGUUACUAAGAUCAAGCUUCCUAACUUCCACUGGCUAUUUAAGCAGAUCACAAGUCAGGAAGAACCCCAAGUCAUGAGCCACCUGAUUUCUUCUGGAAUCACUGUAAAAUUAUUUCCAAUGUUUCCAUGUAAGCAUGCUUUCUUUUUAGGCCUGGUUAAAGAUGGAAUCACUAUUAUACAGAAAAAAAAGAAUCUAGUUUAUUU